GGAGGUCUCGUGCUAUUCCUAGAGAAGGAAGUUCCUUCGGGACACGGGAUACAGGUGGUGCAUGGUUGUCGUCAGCUCGUGUCGUGAGAUGUUGGGUUAAGUCCCGCAACGAGCGCAACCCCUAUUGUUAGUUGCCAUCAUUAAGUUGGGCACUCUAACGAGACUGCCGGUGAUAAACCGGAGGAAGGUGGGGAUGACGUCAAAUCAUCAUGCCCCUUAUGACCUGGGCUACACACGUGCUACAAUGGAUGGUACAACGAGUCGCGAGACAGUGAUGUUUAGCUAAUCUCUUAAAACCAUUCUCAGUUCGGAUUGUAGGCUGCAACUCGCCUACAUGAAGUCGGAAUCGCUAGUAAUCGCGGAUCAGCACGCCGCGGUGAAUACGUUCCCGGGUCUUGUACACACCGAAA
rnacentral:rRNA from 1 species